UUACCCGGGGACACGAGUGGCAGAAAACUACACAAUACAAACUACUUAAUUAUACUCCAAACACAACUUAAGUGUGUGGGGUAAGAGUAGGAACAUAUUCCAUGCAGAUUUGUCUCGAAAUUUUGGACUUGACUAACCAAAAGUUCCAUAUUUUUAUGAUGAUUUAUGCUACAUUACGAUUGGAGACCAUAAACAACGCGAGCAGAACACGGAUUUACGGUAAUAUAAGAAUAAUUUCCCUCGGACAAACCAUGCCGAACUUCCAGUACAAAACCCAUCAAGCCAUGGAAGUUAAAAAAUUGUAAAUGUGUCUUACCUUUGUUGUUUUUCCCAGAAAUAAUGGAUUUAAUGCAAUGAGCUCUUGUUAGCGUUUAGUUAGCAUUCAGAACGCGAGGCAUCUCCUCACUCAAACCAAGCCCGAGAAAUGUUGAGACAAUUGUGUCUUUGGUGUACCUUAUCACAACCCAAGGUACCUGGAAACAAUUGUAUCUGUGGACUGUGGAAGAGGAGGCUGAAACGCUGGACACUCACAUCUGCAACCAACUUUAAAAAGUGUGGUUUGAGAACCAUUAAUUAUUUACGUGCCCUUUUCUGUGCAUUUUAAAAUGAGUAGAAACGAUGGAGUCUAUUAAAGCAGCUUUACAUGCUUCCCCAAUAUGAUCACAUGCCAGCAUGUAACUAAUUGUAGGGCUUUUCCUUUUGAAUGUGUUUUUCCAGGGCUGUCAAUCUUAAUAAUUCACCAGGGCUGUCAAUCUUAAUAAUCAAAAAUUUUUCUAAAUCUUAUAAGUAUCGAAUAGAAAUAUCACUUUAGAAAGUGUGUAUUUUAGAUCCUGUUAUUUAAUUGUUUUUUUAACACAACCACACACUCAUGUAGACAUGUCACAGAGAGGCACACACCCCAUAGAUGAGCUGUUGAUACAGCGAUGCUGAUCCAAGACUUCCCCAUUUGAACAUGGGAUUCUGUUAAAUGCAUAGAUAUUUCAUAUCUAUUGUGCUGUGCUGUAUAAAUGCUGUGGUCGACUUCAAGAAGAAGAUGGGAUUCCCAUCAAAGAGAUGAGUGACCACUUCCGAUACGUGAUAAGAUGGAGGACUUGGAUACAGGGCUGUCCUCUGAACAUAUCCUAGGAUACAUACGAGGGGCUGGAGGAUCUAUUAAAAAAUAAAGCCCGGGAGAUUGAGACACAGAUGAAGGAGGCGUUCAGCAUUUACAGAUUAAUACACUGCAUACAAAUGUUUUUUGGAGAAAUACACACCAGCUUCGAUUGUUUUUGUUUUGAGUAGAAAUAGUUUUAGAUAGAGUUGGUGAGAGGUAGUAUAUUUGCAUAUCUAAUGCAGACAUUAACAACUUCCAGAACAAAGAAAAAUAAGAGGAAUUUCAGUAUCUUUUUUCACAUUACAUUUUUAUGUUUUUAGAUUUCUUCAUUCAUUCAGGUCAGUGUAUAUUUACCCAGCGUUCUUUAACUUGCAGCUAGUAUACAAUUUCAAUUUCUCAAAUGUCAAACAUUAUAAUGCUGUCAGCCCAAGACUAAGAGCCGGAAAGCACACGAUGACAAUCAGUCAUGUUUUUAUAUGCAGGGAGGUUUUUGAUGGAACCCACUGCCCUAUACCUAUACAUCAAUGGUAAUUGUAUAAGUUCUUCCUCAACUCUUCAAACAUUAUUGAAAUUGAAUACUAGUACAUACCCUGUACCACCCUGGGACCCCACCUUCAUUGCUGUAAACUCGAGUUUGCAUCUCCUCACAGACCUCAAAUCCUCAACAGCAAACACAAUGUUUCCACCAUCCGUUUACCAUGCGCAGAUUUUGUGGAAAGAAGUUAUCUUAAAAAAAUGAAUUGGUGUUGGUCGUACAAAAGGAGCUGUUGAUGUUGAAGAAUGUCUGUAUGAUCUACACCGUCAAUAAAAGCACACUUGUGUCAUGUGUCAUGUUUCAACGGUC